CUAUAAAACACAUUUUAAUUUUUCUUAUCACUCAAUGCAACUUGGAGAGUGAGUGAUUGAGUUCUCUACACGUAUACUAGUGUGAUAGGUUAUAAAAUCAUACAAGAGAGAGAUCUUGCGCUCAACAGAUUCACUACUCAAAACUGUGACUAAUAACUCGCAAAUUCUCUGACAUGAGAGAGUGAUCUUGCGCUCAACAGAUUCACUACUCAAAAAAUGCUUGUACGAGUGAGAUAGAAACACAAAGGAGGCGUGUAUCACAAUUGGCGAACACUGCCGAUACUCCCCAGAGCUUUAGCACGAGGUCACCGAUAACAUUUGAUUCAUUUUCUCACCUCACAACUCGGUCUCAUAAGCAAUUGUGCUCUCGUGAAGGAACCUUACCUGCAUCUAGAAAAUCAUAGCCGAGGAGCUAAGCUGGAACAAUACCUGAACCGAGUCGAGGAGCUAACUGAGAGAAGUCGAUUA